rnacentral:rRNA from 1 species
UAGUCCACGCAGUAAACGAUGAAUACUUGAUGUAGGAGGUAUCGACCCCUUCUGUGUCGAAGUUAACGUAUUAAGUAUUCCACCUGGGGAGUACGACCGCAAGGUUGAAACUCAAAGGAAUUGACGGGGACCCGCACAAGCAGUGGAGUAUGUGGUUUAAUUCGAGGCAACGCGAAGAACCUUACCAAGUCUUGACAUAUUUCGGAGGGACUUAGAGAUAAGUUCCAAGGACUUCGGUCCACUGAAAA